GAUGAACGCUGGCGGCGUGCCUAAUACAUGCAAGUCGAGCGAACAGAUGAGGAGCUUGCUCCUCUGACGUUAGCGGCGGACGGGUGAGUAACACGUGGAUAACCUACCUAUAAGACUGGGAUAACUUCGGGAAACCGGAGCUAAUACCGGAUAAUAUAUUGAACCGCAUGGUUCAAUAGUGAAAGACGGUUUUGCUGUCACUUAUAGAUGGAUCCGCGCCGCAUUAGCUAGUUGGUAAGGUAACGGCUUACCAAGGCAACGAUGCGUAGCCGACCUGAGAGGGUGAUCGGCCACACUGGAACGGAGACACGGUCCAGACUCCUACGGGAGGCAGCAGUAGGGAAUCUUCCGCAAUGGGCGAAAGCCUGACGGAGCAACGCCGCGUGAGUGAUGAAGGUCUUCGGAUCGUAAAACUCUGUUAUUAGGGAAGAACAAAUGUGUAAGUAACUAUGCACGUCUUGACGGUACCUAAUCAGAAAGCCACGGCUAACUACGUGC
rnacentral:rRNA from 1 species